rnacentral:rRNA from 1 species
GAUGAACGCUAGCGACAGGCUUAACACAUGCAAGUCGAGGGGCAGCGGGGGUAGCAAUACCCGCCGGCGACCGGCGCACGGGUGAGUAACGCGUAUGCAACUUACCUAUCAGAGGGGGAUAACCCGGCGAAAGUCGGACUAAUACCGCAUGAAGCAGGGGCCCCGCAUGGGGAUAUUUGCUAAAGAUUCAUCGCUGAUAGAUAGGCAUGCGUUCCAUUAGGCAGUUGGCGGGGUAACGGCCCACCAAACCGACGAUGGAUAGGGGUUCUGAGAGGAAGGUCCCCCACAUUGGUACUGAGACACAGUCCAAACUCCUACGGGAGGCAGCAGUGAGGAAUAUUGGUCAAUGGGCGAGAGCCUGAACCAGCCAAAGUAGCGUGAAGGAUGAACUG